GUUUUUUGGCUGCGGCACGGCGAGGGGCUGAGCGCCAGCCUCCGCCCCGUUCCGAUCCCGACCCCCCCGGGGCAGAUGCUGGUGGAGAAGAAGGAGGCGAGCAGGCAGAGCAGCAUUCUGCUGCAGAGCGCGGCGCCCAGCGCCCAGCUGCUGCGGGCGCUGCAGGAGGUGGGCAGCCUCAGCAGGGCGCUGGAGGAGGCUCGGCAACAGCACCAGCAGCAGGUGAGGGACCCCCAAACCUCUCCAAACCUCUCCAAACCUCUCCACGCACCCAUUUCCACCCCCCAAGAGGGGUUUUCCCCCCCUUGGAUUUCCAUUAUUGUGCUCCGAAAUGCGCCCAGGGGUGGGUUGGCGCUCGGUGCGCUUUGGCACGGGGUGGGGGUGCCCGGGGAGGACCCCAAAUUCUCUGCCCCUCGCGUGUCUGCCCGCAGGUGAAGGAGCUGGAGGAGCAGCUGCGUGCCAGGCCGCGGCAGGAGGAGCUGGAGCUGGCCAGGGCUGCGCUGGCUGCGGCCGAGGAGGGGAGGCAGGAGCUGAGGGCGCAGCUGCAGGAGGCGCGCGGGCGGCUGGAGGAGCUGGAGGCGGCCGGUGGGUGCUUCUCCCUGACCCCCCCCCCCCUUGGGGCUGGGGGAUUCAGCUGGGCACGGGGAACCAGCCCUAAAAUGCCCACCCCCCCCCCUCUGAGCACUAAAUGUGGCCCCAUGGCAGCGAGUUUGGAGCAGGAGGGGGACCUGGCACGGAGCGAGCCCCCGCCACCGCCGCCACCGCCACCGCUGCCACCGCCUGCGCCCAGCGUCCCCGUGGACCCCCUCUUGGCGCUCAGGCAGAGGAAGGGGCAGGCCAACCCGCAGCACCGGAAACCGGGACCUGGCGAUGCCAAAGCCCGAGCCGUGCAGGAGAUGAUGGAGAGGAUAAAGAACGGGGUGGUGCUGAGACCCGCCAAGGAGCGGGUGGCCCUGAGCCAGUCAGCCAGCAAGCGGAGGAGCGCGGCGCUGGAGCUGCGGGGCAUCCUGGGCGCCAUGCGCAGGGCGAGCAGGAGGACGAGCGGGCGCAGGAGCAGCGUGCGGGGCCAGGACAGGCAGCUGGAGGCCAUCCUGCAGCGACGCCGCCGGGCCAUCGAUGUCCCCGAGUCCCCCCCAGGGCCGGACACCACCGACCCCGACCCCAACCCCGACCCCGACCCCGGGGCUGGGGGCAGGACGGAGCCGGGUCACGAGGAUGCUGGCAGAGCCGCUUCCCCCAGCCCCUGGCACGGGGACGGGGCUGGGGACCCCCUCCAGUUCCGCCCGCGGGCGGUGGGAGGCAUCUCCCGGAGCAGACCCUGCGCCUGGCAGGCUGGAGGGGGGGAGAAGGAGGGGAGGGGGCAGCCCCAAACCCACCCCAAACCUGCCCGGAGCGGGGCGGACGGAGGGGAGCAGGGCUGUCCGUCUGUCCAGCCCUCCGUCCGUCCUGCUUAGGCCACCAGCCGUGUCCCCAGGGCCACCAGGACGCAGCUGCUGGCUUGGGCACGGCAACGCAGAAGAAAUCUGCCCAAAAUUGGGGGAAGAACACUGGGUGGGGGGCGAUGCUGGGGGCAGCGGGGGGGGGGGGUCCUGGCUAGAGGGGACAACCACGACCAGAUGGGUUGGACGAGGACAUUUAUGGCUCGCUUUGUGCUCAUUUCCUUCUGCUUUAAUUAAACCCGGGUGGCACCGGCCCCCCCCCCGGCUCCUUUGCAGACCCCCUCUGGUGCCGGGGGGCUGGGGCGCAGAGCGAAGCCCCCAGCAGGGUGGCACUGCGGGGGGCUCGCCCUUGGCCACGGCGCGGUGGUGGCAGCUCGGGAACCCCCCAAAAUGCCCCAAAGCAUCCAGGGGCAGGGUCUGGG
rnacentral:lncRNA from 1 species